rnacentral:rRNA from 1 species
UGGGGAAUAUUGCGCAAUGGGGGAAACCCUGACGCAGCGACGCCGGGUGCGGGAUGAAGGCCUUCGGGUUGUAAACCGCUUUUGAUUGGGAGCAAGCUUUCGGGUGAGUGUACCUUUCGAAUAAGCGCCGGCUAACUACGUGCCAGCAGCCGCGGUAAUACGUAGGGCGCAAGCGUUAUCCGGAAUUAUUGGGCGUAAAGAGCUUGUAGGCGGUUCGUCGCGUCUGGUGUGAAAGCCCAUCGCUUAACGGUGGGUUUGCGCCGGGUACGGGCGGGCUAGAGUGCAGUAGGGGAGACUGGAAUUCCCGGUGUAACGGUGGAAUGUGUAGAUAUCGGGAAGAACACCAAUGGCGAAGGCAGGUCUCUGGGCUGUUACUGACGCUGAGAAGCGAAAGCGUGGGGAGCGAACAGG